UAAUGUAUGGGGAUCUGCCCGAUAGAGGGGGAUAACUACUGGAAACGGUGGCUAAUACCGCAUAAUGUCUACGGACCAAAGCAGGGGCUCUUCGGACCUUGCACUAUCGGAUGAACCCAUAUGGGAUUAGCUAGUAGGUGGGGUAAAGGCUCACCUAGGCGACGAUCUCUAGCUGGUCUGAGAGGAUGAUCAGCCACAUUGGGACUGAGACACGGCCCAG
rnacentral:rRNA from 1 species